CUGGGAGGACCAUCUCCUAAGGCUAAAUACUCUCUAGUGACCGAUAGUGAACCAGUACCGUGAGGGAAAGGUGAAAAGCACCCCGGAAGGGGAGUGAAAUAGAACCUGAAACCGUGUGCUUACAAGUAGUCAGAGCCCGUUAAUGGGUGAUGGCGUGCCUUUUGUAGAAUGAACCGGCGAGUUACGAUUUGAUGCAAGGUUAAGCAGUAAAUGUGGAGCCGUAGCGAAAGCGAGUCUGAAUAGGGCGUUUAGUAUUUGGUCGUAGACCCGAAACCAGGUGAUCUACCCUUGGUCAGGUUGAAGUUCAGGUAACACUGAAUGGAGGACCGAACCGACUUACGUUGAAAAGUGAGCGGAUGAACUGAGGGUAGCGGAGAAAUUCCAAUCGAACCUGGAGAUAGCUGGUUCUCUCCGAAAUAGCUUUAGGGCUAGCCUCAAGUGAUGAUUAUUGGAGGUAGAGCACUGUUUGGACGAGGGGCCCCUCUCGGGUUACCGAAUUCAGACAAACUCCGAAUGCCAAUUAAUUUAACUUGGGAGUCAGAACAUGGGUGAUAAGGUCCGUGUUCGAAAGGGAAACAGCCCAGACCACCAGCUAAGGUCCCAAAAUAUAUGUUAAGUGGAAAAGGAUGUGGCGUUGCCCAGACAACUAGGAUGUUGGCUUAGAAGCAGCCAUCAUUUAAAGAGUGCGUAAUAGCUCACUAGUCGAGUGACACUGCGCCGAAAAUGUACCGGGGCUAAACAUAUUACCGAAGCUGUGGAUUGUCCUUUGGACAAUGGUAGGAGAGCGUUCUAAGGGCGUUGAAGCAUGAUCGUAAGGACAUGUGGAGCGCUUAGAAGUGAGAAUGCCGGUGUGAGUAGCGAAAGACGGGUGAGAAUCCCGUCCACCGAUUGACUAAGGUUUCCAGAGGAAGGCUCGUCCGCUCUGGGUUAGUCGGGUCCUAAGCUGAGGCCGACAGGCGUAGGCGAUGGAUAACAGGUUGAUAUUCCUGUACCACCU
rnacentral:rRNA from 1 species